GGGAGAAUGUCUUUUAAUGAGGAACAAUACAGCCCCUAGUCUCUCUCUGGAGCCAUAAUUAGAGCAAAUUAAUUGAAGUUGUGUUUUGACACACUUGCUGAACGCACAGGCGAUGCAUGACAUGCUUACAACUCCACUUGCGGCAAACGGCAUGACGGAAGUGAGGAUACAAAAUCACUAGGUGCGCACAGGAGCUGAUUUGCAUGUGCGGUGUGCAGGCACUAAGCCAUUCAACGGUGCUCCUGUGAAAAGUUGCCACUGAACGAUAUUAACAGUAAUUACUAAGACUUCA